GGGCGUAUCAAAACCUAAAACAGGUAUUUCUGAUGUGCUAAACACAGACUUUUGGAGGUAAAUUAGCAGCAUGACUACCGCCGCCAACUGCUGUCAGUCACCUUCAGAAAUGU
rnacentral:snoRNA from 1 species